GACGAACGCUGGCGGCGUGCCUAAUACAUGCAAGUCGAACGCACAGUUUAUACCGUAGCUUGCUACACCAUAAACUGUGAGUUGCGAACGGGUGAGUAACGCGUAGGUAACCUGCCUGGUAGCGGGGGAUAACUAUUGGAAACGAUAGCUAAUACCGCAUAAUAUUGAUUAUUGCAUGAUAAUUGAUUGAAAGAUGCUAUUGCAUCACUACCAGAUGGACCCGCGUUGUAUUAGCUAGUAGGUGAGGUAACGGCUCACCUAGGCGACGAUACAUAGCCGACCUGAGAGGGUGAUCGGCCACACUGGGACUGAGACACGGCCCAGACUCCUACGGGAGGCAGCAGUAGGGAAUCUUCGGCAAUGGACGAAAGUCUGACCGAGCAACGCCGCGUGAGUGAAGAAGGUUUUCGGAUCGUAAAGCUCUGUUGUAAGAGAAGAACGGGUGUGAGAGUGGAAAGUUCACACUGUGACGGUAUCUUACCAGAAAGGGACGGCUAACUACGUG
rnacentral:rRNA from 1 species